UGGGGAAUAUUGCACAAUGGGCGAAAGCCUGAUGCAGCAACGCCGCGUGAGUGAUGAAGGCCUUCGGGUUGUAAAGCUCUGUCUUUUGGGACGAUAAUGACGGUACCAAAGGAGGAAGCCACGGCUAACUACGUGCCAGCAGCCGCGGUAAUACGUAGGUGGCAAGCGUUGUCCGGAUUUACUGGGCGUAAAGGAUGCGUAGGCGGAUUUUUAAGUGAGAUGUGAAAUACCCGGGCUUAACUUGGGUGCUGCAUUUCAAACUGGGAAUCUAGAGUGCGGGAGAGGAGAAUGGAAUUCCUAGUGUAGCGGUGAAAGUGCGUAGAGAUUAGGAAGAACACCAGUGGCGAAGGCGAUUCUCUGGACCGUAACUGACGCUGAGGCAUGAAAGCGUGGGUAGCAAACAGGAUUAGAUACCCUGGUAGUCCACGCCGUAAACGAUGAGUACUAGGUGUAGGAGGUAUCGACCCCUUCUGUGCCGCAGUUAACACAAUCAAGUACUCCGCCUGGGAAGUACGAUCGCAAGAUUAAAACUCAAAUG
rnacentral:rRNA from 1 species